UUCUUACUUUUUUUUUAUGGUUCUCCCAGGGUCCGAGGUCCUCACCUAUUUCUAGGACACAGACAUUUAGAUGGAUACGGACAGCAGCAGCAGAUGUACUGGCUGGGAUAAAAGGACUAUCAAACCUCUUGCUCCGGGCAUAUGCUGAUCACCAGCUGCGGUCAGGAAGAAAUGGCUCCCAGGGUACACAGCCCCGUGCAAUUACCACAGGUGCAUUACAAGGCAGCUUUACACCUUCAUUGAAAUAUCUUGCAUCGUUACUGACUGGAGAGGGGCCCAUUUGUAUGUUCCAGCAUAGCAGUUUUAUGUCCUGAUGAUAUAGCACCUUAUCAGAGAAUUGUUAUCGGGUUGUCAUCAUGUUAUUGUGUCUCCAAAUGGGAAGGUGGCUAAACACAGGCGCACUCAAGAGAAGCUGAGUAAAUAGUACGCUUUGUAAAUUCCCUGAGCACACACUUCCACAAUUGAUUUUAUAAGAGGGCUUCUAGGAAGCUUUUUACAGCCUCCUGGGUAUGUAUGACUGAAAGACAGAGCCCCGCACGGAGCACGUGGACUGGCUUCUUUUCUCAGUCAAUUAAACAUGUGUAAGGACUCGGAAACAUGUGACUAUUAUGAGGUAUAUUUCCCCCGGGAAAUUAAGGCAAGGAAAUCAAAGGUUUGGGAGUGUGAAUCUGCAUGGCAAGUGAGCUUGGUGCUUGCACAAAUGCAGGGCUCAGGCCAUGACAGCAGAGGAGAAGUCGGGCAGACUCUUGGCAGUCUCCAAUAUCACCUUUCCCAUGUUCUUCCCCAGGACAGAGAUCCAAGGGCAGUGGGCAGGAGCCCAUCCAGCUCCUACCCAGCAUCUUCAGACCCACACCUGGUCCCUAUGCUCCCUGCCAUCCUCUCUCUGCUCUUCCAGCAGUGGUCCCAGGGCAGUGGGAAUCCUCCUGGCACCACUGUCCUGCACAGCCACAAGUCUCCAGCCCACUCAUUACCAAGCCCUCUGCUCUGCCUCGUGCUAUUCACCCUUUGGCAAGCAUCUCAAGUUCCUCUCCUUUGGGAAAAAAAGUAAAAUAAUAAUAAUAAAAAAAUCAAUGUCCCUGAGUUGGAGCCAAA